AAAGAGAUAGCCCGCUUUCAUGUAAGUCAAUGAUUCUGCCUUAUUUACGUUAUUGUUUUCUAGAUUGUUGGGGUAUCUACCAUGCAGAGCUUUAGCCUUCCAUUCUUCCCGAAAACUUUGCUGAGUGCGGACCGGCGGAGCGAAUCCUGAGUCCGAGAGCCGCAACGGAGAGCAUCCCACAUCGAUCGCCCGAAGGGUCCUGAAGUAAGGUGAGUUCUGCUGCAUAAAAUAUUCCCUCAAUCUUAUUACGGUCUUAUUGUGAGCUGUUUCUAAAUUAACCAAUCCUCUUCCGCCCAGGUGUCUUUGGAGGUAGAGUCUAGCCACGGAGGAGUGUGGGUGAUGUACACCGUAUUUCGUCAAGAUGGUUCGAAUUUUUGUAUCCAAGGCUUGCAACUCCGUAGUCGACCAGGUUGUCUGCUGCUAACCUGAUCUUAUUAUGGAAAUCGCCCGCACCAAGCCUUAGCUUAUACUCUUUUGCUAUGAUCUUCAUUGAUUUCAUUACUCUCCUGGACGGUUGCUGUGUGGAAAGGCGUGUCUUCCAUGGCGGAUCACCAGAAGGCCUCCUCAUCUCAACCGGCGAUUCCGUCUUACCCUGGAGUUCAGCAACAGUUAUGGCCCCCGCGUAAACCAUAUCCACAAAUUGUAGAAGAGAGUGGUCCCUGUCAAUGAUCCU